rnacentral:lncRNA from 1 species
AGGGCUGCCACAAAGAAUGUGACCACACUCACUACCUGCUUUCUGUGUUUGCUCCCUUCUUCCAUACCUCAUAGAGACGUCUUCUUCUUCUUGCAUGCACAGUUUGCUACUGUCCCUUGUUGUAAAAUGUGGCCCUGUGGGACUGCAUAUGUGUGAGAGUCUCACUGUGAAGCAGGCUCAGUGCUUUGUGUCUUAAUCUGAGUUACAGAGCUCCUUCCUUGCGCCUCCUCCCGGCACCAAUGUCAGAAGUCAUGGUAUUGAGCACAAGCUAGUAACUCUGCUAUCUUCUUUCCAGAAUAUUCUGAGUAGUGGAGCUUCAAUCUGGCUUUGCCUUUCCUCUACAUGCCUGCAAUGAUGACUAGCUGGAGGAAGAUGCUCCGGGUGCUUUCCCAGCCAAGCUUCUUAGGGCAACUCCAUCAAACCCAGCCAUCCAAAUGGAUCACCAAAACAGGUAGACCAGAUCUCCAGAUGCCAUGGUGUCCUGUUCCUGCUCUACAGGAUCUCCUGACAGACAUUGUGGUGUCCUGCCUCUACUCUUCUGGACCUCCUGACAUUGUGGUGUUCUUGUUGUCUUUGUGUGUGUGUGUGCGUGCACUCUUCUUCCCUCUGGGCCACAGAACUUGGACAGAGAUAUGCUGA